rnacentral:rRNA from 1 species
CCUACGGGAGGCAGCAGUGAGGAAUAUUGGUCAAUGGGAGAGAUCCUGAACCAGCCACGCCGCGUGAGGGAAGACGGCCCUAUGGGUUGUAAACCUCUUUUGUCGGAGAACAAAACCCUCGACGUGUCCCGGACUGCGUGUAUCCGAAGCAAAAGCAUCGGCUAACUCCGUGCCAGCAGCCGCGGUAAUACGGAGGUUUCGUGCGUUAUCCGGAUUUAUUGGGUUAAAGGGGGGCCUAGGCGGUCCUGUAAUUCCGCGGUAAAAUGGCGGGGCUAAAACCGGUCGCGCCGUGGAAACUGGCAGACGUGAGUAGGCGAGAGGUACGCGGAAUGCGCGGUGUAGCGGUGAAAUGCAUAGAGAUCACGAAGAACUCCGAUUGCGAAGGCAGCGUACCGGCGCCAGACUGACGCUGAGGCACGAAAGCGUGGGGAUCGAACAGGAUUAGAUACCCGGGUAGUC